GGUGCGUUGGAUGAGAGGCUUAGUCAACGGUCUGCAAAACCGUGUACACCCGUUCGAAUCGGGUACGCACCU
rnacentral:tRNA from 2 species